rnacentral:tRNA from 1 species
GGCGAUGUAGCUCAGACGGUUAGAGCGCACGACUCAUAAUCGUGAGGUCGAGGGUUCGAUCCCCUCCAUCGCUACCA